UACGGAGGAUGCGAGCGUUAUCCGGAUUUAUUGGGUUUAAAGGGUGCGCAGGCGGCACGGCAAGCCGGCGGUCAAAUCGCGGGGCUCAACCCCGCCCAGCCGUCGGAACUGCCGGGCUAGAGUGGGCGAGAAGUGCGCGGAAUGCGUGGUGUAGCGGUGAAAUGCAUAGAUAUCACGCGGAACUCCGAUUGCGAAGGCAGCAUGCCGGCUCCACACUGACGCUGAGGCACGAAAGCGUGGGUAUCGAACAGG
rnacentral:rRNA from 1 species